CUGCUCACGUUGGCAGCGCAUAUACUAAAACUGGAACAAUACAAAGAAGAUUAACACGGCCCCUGCACAAGGAUGACAUGCAAAUUUGCGAAGCAUUCCAUAUUUUU
ensembl:snRNA U6 U6 spliceosomal RNA